UGCCAACGCAGCGCUGCCACCCUCUGCACUGGGAUGUCCGCCUGCUCGCCGGGGCCCCUUGCUGCUCCUCGGCCUUGAGCACAGCCGGGCGGGCAGGCAGCUGGCGGGGACAGGCCAAGGGUUCAUUUUCUCUGUCAAUGAAAUCAGUUCUACUCUUGAUCAACGUAUUGCUCUAUUCCAUCUGCACUGCGCUCAGACAGCUCAAGUGUCAGGAGUCAAGAAGAUUUCCUCGAGUGAAAAUCACCCUACAAGUCAUCAAAUCCUCAUAAACAAUGAUCCCCAAAGGUUCCUUUUGGAAAAUAACUUCAGUAACUGAAGGACAAGUGGAUCACCAACUUCCAGGAGAGGAAGGAAGCCCAGGGGCCUUUGGGGAUGUCCUUUGCUUCUGUCCAUUCCGAUCUCUCCGUUCCGGGGGCCAGCUCCCAGGCCUGGGCAGGGCGGGGCGCCAGAAGAGCUUGGGAGGGAAGAGCCAGAAAAUUCCAGCCCAGCAUCUUCUGCAGGGCUGACCCAGUCUCGCCAGUCUUGUCUCCUCGAUGGCCUACUGCUUGCACACCUGGCCUGGCCUGACCCAGUGCAGGAAGAGCAUUUCCUAAGUGGAAUGACUUGCCUCUUGUCAACAGUACACUGGUUUGGGGCUUGGGGGUGGAGGUAGAGAGGAGCCCAGAAUGCUGCUCCAGAACAGCUAGCUUCUUGGACUUCCCAUCUGCAAGAUGGGCACCAGAAUCCCCUCCCUGUCUGCCCCUCUGCAGUGUGCUAUGAGGAGCCCAGGAGAACCUGAAUG